GCCUUGUCCAGAUUGGUGAUGUUGGGGACUACACUUCUGAGGUUGUAAAGGCUUUCAUUGAGCUUUCUCCUCCUAUUCCUCUCGAUGAUUAUGUUGCUCUUCUCAUUUGUCAAGCAGCUUGAUGAUCCACUUUGAUUGUCAGGUGAGCUUGAGUCGUAGUAAAUGCUGGAGAUGUCGUCGAAGACCCAACUGUCAAGCUCCUCGGUCUCGAGGAAUCUCUUGGUCUCCCAGUACAAGUUGUAAUCAGCAUCCAUGUCA
rnacentral:misc_RNA from 1 species